GGAAGUUCUCAGCCUCUGAGGCUCGGUAUUUUGUAUCGUGGCUCAUUCCUGCGCACAAGGAUCCUCCUUAUGAGCAGGAGGCAAGAUUUCCUCAGCUACGAACUUUGACAAUCGAACAGCGCACAAAGCUGAAAAGCAGUUUAAUUAGUUUUGAUGAUCCUAGCUUCUGUGAGUGGGUACGAAGCUUGAGAGUGGUUCCCCCAGAACCAAGUUAGAUGGUCUUAGCCUUUGUUAAUCUUGAGAGCUAACGUCACUACAAAAAGUCAGUGUUGCAAGUUGUAUUAGAGCAAAAUUGUGUCUUGCCGAGAAAAUUUUUUGUUCUUUCAUUUUCACUGAUAGAGGAAAUUGUAGUUGAGAUAUGUCUGGACAGGAAAGGUAUAGUUCUCAUCUCCUUAAUACUAUUAGCAGUUAACUUUGUCCAAUA